UAAUACUAGCGGUCCAAGUCGCAGCCAUCUUUAUUGGGUCUAAAACAUCCGUAGCUUGCUUAGUAAGUUCCUUGUGAAAUCCCAUAUCUCAAAUAUGGGGCGGGCAAGGAGUACUACUAGGCUAGAGACCGGGAGACGUAAAGAGUACGAUCAAAGUAGCGGUAAAAUGUUUUAAUCUUGAUCGGACUAACAAUAGCGAAGGCACUUUACGAGAACGGUUCUGACAGUAAGGGAUGAAGGCUAGGGGCGCAAAACGGAUUAGAUACCCGUGUAGUCCUAGCAGUAAACACUGCACACUAAACAUCGGUACCUCCUCGAGAGGCAUCGGUGCUGUAGGGAAGCCGUAGAGUGUGCUACCUGGGAAGUAUAGUCGCAAGGCCG
rnacentral:rRNA from 1 species